rnacentral:tRNA from 2 species
GUGGGUGUAGCUCAGUUGGUAGAGCGCCAGGUUGUGAUCCUGGAUGUCGCGGGUUCAAGUCCCGUCACUCACC